AGAGUUUGAUCAUGGCUCAGGAUGAACGCUAGCUACAGGCUUAACACAUGCAAGUCGAGGGGCAGCAUGUUGGUUGCUUGCAACCAAUGAUGGCGACCGGCGCACGGGUGAGUAACGCGUAUCCAACCUACCCUUGUCCAUCGGAUAACCCGUCGAAAGGCGGCCUAACACGAUAUGCGGUUCGCAGCAGGCAUCUAAGGUGAACGAAAUGUGAAGGAGAAGGAUGGGGAUGCGUCUGAUUAGCUUGUGGCGGGGUAACGCCACAAGGCUACGAUCAGUAGGGGUUCUGAGAGGAGGUCCCCCANAUUGGAACUGAGACACGGUCCAAACUCCGACGGGAGCA
rnacentral:rRNA from 1 species